GAUGAACGCUGGCGGCGUGCUUAACACAUGCAAGUCGAACGAUGAAGCUCAGCUUGCUGGGUGGAUUAGUGGCGAACGGGUGAGUAACACGUGAGUAACCUGCCCUUAACUCUGGGAUAAGCCUGGGAAACUAGGUCUAAUACCGGAUAGGAGCGCCUACCGCAUGGUGGGUGUUGGAAAUAUUUAUCGGUUUUGGAUGGACUCGCGGCCUAUCAGCUUGUUGGUGAGGUAACGGCUCACCAAGGCGACGACGGGUAGCCGGCCUGAGAGGGUGACCGGCCACACUGGGACUGAGACACGGCCCAGACUCCUACGGGAGGCAGCAGUGGGGAAUAUUGCACAAUGGGCGAAAGCCUGAUGCAGCGACGCCGCGUGAGGGAUGACGGCCUUCGGGUUGUAAACCUCUUUCAGUAGGGAAGAAGCGAAAGUGACGGUACCUGCAGAAGAAGCACCGGCUAACUACGUG
rnacentral:rRNA from 1 species